CUAUUUUGAUUAUCGUUUUUAUUUUAAAUACACAAUUACAAUGGCAUGAAUGUCCUUGUGAUGACGGUGGUGUGUGUGAUUGCAUGAGGACUGCAGGUCUGCAAUAAUAAUGAUGGCAAUGUCAAUUCAGUUGUGGUUGCAGAGUAUUGAUCUAAUACUCAUCUGAGUAUUUUUCUUAAAUCUAAUAAGAUAAUAGCUGAUCAUGAAGGGAUGUUUAACUAUAAACACGUGAACUCAUUUCUUGGUAUAGUGAAGUGUUCUUCUGACAGGUGACUAUGUGGAGCUUUUGAAGGAAAAUGAUGAACCAAGAAGCCUGGGCGAUCGUCUAUUGGCGGCAACCUGGUAUACAUGACCUAAUUGACUUGCCUGAAUCUUUUGAUGAUAGAUCAUUAAUAGGUCAUAGAGGUAAAAAAAUCUGCACUCGGUACAACCGAGCAUUUUAUUAUGAAAGUGAUGGACAAUCUCUUGCAUUGUCUUGUGGCUGGCCAUGUAGGUAUUUCAUCUAUAAGCAUAACACAUCGGCUGGCAUAAUUCUUGAGAGGUUAUUUUUAGUCUAAACGCAUAUGUAUUUUUUACACUCCUAAUACUUACAAUUUAUAUUUUUUUGUAUUUAUCGUAGUCAAGAUGUGCAUUUCGCGUGCUUAACUACUGUAUAAAGAGCGCUAGCUUGCUCCUACGUUUUGUUCAAUUUUGGUUAGAACAUCUAGAUGGUGAUAAAAAAGAAGAGAGUACCUUUUUCCGUGAAUACACAUGUUGCCCACUAUUGCAUUGAUAGAGGGAAUUAAGGGUUGUAUUCCCCGAGCUGAGCUGCGUACACGACAUGGCACAUACAAGGACAGGGUUAAGCAGAAAGCAUGGGGAUGCCCAGCCCCGAGAGUCAUAGAAUCAGAUGACUGGCAAAAUCAUGUUCAAUCCUCGACCACCCGCCUUAGCUCCUGACCUCAUUCGUCCCUUGAUGCCAUACAAACACUCAUCGGUGAGUAUUCUAGGUUCCCAAUUAUGAUGUUAGAGAUCUGCACCAUUUAUUAAUUCUACUUACGAAGCACUUUUAGCACAUACAAUAAAUUUCUCACUUUUCAUCUUAUAUUUUAUAUUGAUAAUAGCUCCUGAAUUAAACAUUGUGGUUACCACUAUCCCUUGGAGACAUAUAAGAUUUUCAUGUAUGAAAUGUCUUGUUUUUAGGAAUGGGGACUCUAAAAUGGACGGAGGAGGAGCUAAAGUUCAGGAGCCAAAUACGGCAGGCAUGUU
rnacentral:lncRNA from 1 species